GCGAGCGUGGCGGAAUGGUAGACGCGCCAGACUUAAAAUCUGUUGUCCGUAUGGGCGUGGGGGUUCAAGUCCCCCCGCUCGCACCA
rnacentral:tRNA from 6 species